rnacentral:rRNA from 1 species
AGACCUCAAUUUGAGCAAGAUUACCCGCUGAACUUAAGCAUAUCAGUAA